rnacentral:tRNA from 1 species
GCCCGCGGUGGCUCAGCUGGAUAGAGCGUCUGCCAUGUAAGCAGAAGAUCCCGGGUUCGAGUCCUGGUCGGGGCA